rnacentral:rRNA from 1 species
UUAAGUUAUUAAGGGCGCACGGUGGAUGCCUUGGCACUAGAAGCCGAUGAAGGACGUUACUAACGACGAUAUGCUUUGGGGAGCUGUAAGUAAGCUUUGAUCCAGAGAUUUCCGAAUGGGGAAACCCAGCAUGAGUUAUGUCAUGUUAUCGAUAUGUGAAUACAUAGCAUAUCAGAAGGCACACCCGGAGAACUGAAACAUCUUAGUACCCGGAGGAAGAGAAAGAAAAUUCGAUUCCCUUAGUAGCGGCGAGCGAAACGGGAAGAGCCCAAACCAACAAGCUUGCUUGUUGGGGUUGUAGGACACUCUAUACGGAGUUACAAAGGACGACAUUAGACGAAUCAUCUGGAAAGAUGAAUCAAAGAAGGUAAUAAUCCUGUAGUCGAAAAUGUUGUCUCUCUUGAGUGGAUCCUGAGUACGACGGAGCACGUGAAAUUCCGUCGGAAUCUGGGAGGACCAUCUCCUAAGGCUAAAUACUCUCUAGUGACCGAUAGUGAACCAGUACCGUGAGGGAAAGGUGAAAAGCACCCCGGAAGGGGAGUGAAAUAGAACCUGAAACCGUGUGCUUACAAGUAGUCAGAGCCCGUUAAUGGGUGAUGGCGUGCCUUUUGUAGAAUGAACCGGCGAGUUACGAUUUGAUGCAAGGUUAAGCAGUAAAUGUGGAGCCGUAGCGAAAGCNNNNNNNNNNNNNNNNAGUCUGAAUAGGGCGUUUAGUAUUUGGUCGUAGACCCGAAACCAGGUGAUCUACCCUUGGUCAGGUUGAAGUUCAGGUAACACUGAAUGGAGGACCGAACCGACUUACGUUGAAAAGUGAGCGGAUGAACUGAGGGUAGCGGAGAAAUUCCAAUCGAACCUGGAGAUAGCUGGUUCUCUCCGAAAUAGCUUUAGGGCUAGCCUCAAGUGAUGAUUAUUGGAGGUAGAGCACUGUUUGGACGAGGGGCCCCUCUCGGGUUACCGAAUUCAGACAAACUCCGAAUGCCAAUUAAUUUAACUUGGGAGUCAGAACAUGGGUGAUAAGGUCCGUGUUCGAAAGGGAAACAGCCCAGACCACCAGCUAAGGUCCCAAAAUAUAUGUUAAGUGGAAAAGGAUGUGGCGUUGCCCAGACAACUAGGAUGUUGGCUUAGAAGCAGCCAUCAUUUAAAGAGUGCGUAAUAGCUCACUAGUCGAGUGACACUGCGCCGAAAAUGUACCGGGGCUAAACAUAUUACCGAAGCUGUGGAUUGUCCUUUGGACAAUGGUAGGAGAGCGUUCUAAGGGCGUUGAAGCAUGAUCGUAAGGACAUGUGGAGCGCUUAGAAGUGAGAAUGCCGGUGUGAGUAGCGAAAGACGGGUGAGAAUCCCGUCCACCGAUUGACUAAGGUUUCCAGAGGAAGGCUCGUCCGCUCUGGGUUAGUCGGGUCCUAAGCUGAGGCCGACAGGCGUAGGCGAUGGAUAACAGGUUGAUAUUCCUGUACCACCUAUAAUCGUUUUAAUCGAUGGGGGGACGCAGUAGGAUAGGCGAAGCGUGCGAUUGGAUUGCACGUCUAAGCAGUAAGGCUGAGUAUUAGGCAAAUCCGGUACUCGUUAAGGCUGAGCUGUGAUGGGGAGAAGACAUUGAGUCUUCGAGUCGUUGAUUUCACACUGCCGAGAAAAGCCUCUAGAUAGAAAAUAGGUGCCCGUACCGCAAACCGACACAGGUAGUCAAGAUGAGAAUUCUAAGGUGAGCGAGCGAACUCUCGUUAAGGAACUCGGCAAAAUGACCCCGUAACUUCGGGAGAAGGGGUGCUCUUUAGGGUUAACGCCCAGAAGAGCCGCAGUGAAUAGGCCCAAGCGACUGUUUAUCAAAAACACAGGUCUCUGCUAAACCGUAAGGUGAUGUAUAGGGGCUGACGCCUGCCCGGUGCUGGAAGGUUAAGAGGAGUGGUUAGCUUCUGCGAAGCUACGAAUCGAAGCCCCAGUAAACGGCGGCCGUAACUAUAACGGUCCUAAGGUAGCGAAAUUCCUUGUCGGGUAAGUUCCGACCCGCACGAAAGGCGUAACGAUUUGGGCACUGUCUCAACGAGAGACUCGGUGAAAUCAUAGUACCUGUGAAGAUGCAGGUUACCCGCGACAGGACGGAAAGACCCCGUGGAGCUUUACUGUAGCCUGAUAUUGAAAUUCGGCACAGCUUGUACAGGAUAGGUAGGAGCCUUUGAAACGUGAGCGCUAGCUUACGUGGAGGCGCUGGUGGGAUACUACCCUAGCUGUGUUGGCUUUCUAACCCGCACCACUUAUCGUGGUGGGAGACAGUGUCAGGCGGGCAGUUUGACUGGGGCGGUCGCCUCCUAAAAGGUAACGGAGGCGCUCAAAGGUUCCCUCAGAAUGGUUGGAAAUCAUUCAUAGAGUGUAAAGGCAUAAGGGAGCUUGACUGCGAGACCUACAAGUCGAGCAGGGUCGAAAGACGGACUUAGUGAUCCGGUGGUUCCGCAUGGAAGGGCCAUCGCUCAACGGAUAAAAGCUACCCCGGGGAUAACAGGCUUAUCUCCCCCAAGAGUUCACAUCGACGGGGAGGUUUGGCACCUCGAUGUCGGCUCAUCGCAUCCUGGGGCUGUAGUCGGUCCCAAGGGUUGGGCUGUUCGCCCAUUAAAGCGGUACGCGAGCUGGGUUCAGAACGUCGUGAGACAGUUCGGUCCCUAUCCGUCGUGGGCGUAGGAAAUUUGAGAGGAGCUGUCCUUAGUACGAGAGGACCGGGAUGGACAUACCUCUGGUGUACCAGUUGUCGUGCCAACGGCAUAGCUGGGUAGCUAUGU